AUUGAACGCUGGCGGCAUGCCUUACACAUGCAAGUCGAACGGUAACAGGUCUUCGGAUGCUGACGAGUGGCGAACGGGUGAGUAAUACAUCGGAACGUGCCUAGUAGUGUGGGAUAACUACUCGAAAGAGUGGCUAAUACCGCAUGAGAUCUACGGAUGAAAGCAGGGGAUCGCAAGACCUUGUGCUACUAGAGCGGCCGAUGGCAGAUUAGGUAGUUGGUGGGAUAAAAGCUUACCAAGCCGACGAUCUGUAGCUGGUCUGAGAGGGCGAUCAGCCACACUGGGACUGAGACACGGCCCAGACUCCUACGGGAGGCAGCAGUGGGGAAUUUUGGACAAUGGGCGCAAGCCUGAUCCAGCAAUGCCGCGUGCAGGAUGAAGGCCUUCGGGUUGUAAACUGCUUUUGUACGGAACGGAAAGCCCUGGGUUAAUACCCUGGGGUCAUGACGGUACCGUAAGAAUAAGCACCGGCUAACUACGUGCCAGCCGCCGCGGUAACAC
rnacentral:rRNA from 1 species